GGUGGGGUGGCAGAGCGGUUGAAUGUACCGGUCUUGAAAACCGGCAGACCCGUCAGGGUCUCGAGGGUUCGAAUCCCUCCCCCACCG
rnacentral:tRNA from 1 species